CAGUUGUCCCUCAAUAGGGUAGACUCCAGCCCCCACUUCCAUACCAAAUUCUUGUUUGUUCAAGCCCAUGAUAUAAAAUGGCAUAGUAUUUGCAUUGAUCCUAUGCACAUCCUCCUGUAUAUGUUAAAUCACCUCUAGACUACCUAUAAUGCUUAAUACAAUGUAAAUGCUAUGUAAAUAGUUGUUAUAAUGUAUUAUUCAGGGAAUAAUGACAAGAAAACAAAAGUCUAUGCA